GAUGAAGAACGCAGCGAAAUGCGAUAAGUAAUGUGAAUUGCAGAAUUCCGUGAAUCAUCGAAUCUUUGAACGCAUAUUGCGCCCUCUGGCAUUCCGGGGGGCAUGCCUGUCCGAGCGUCAUUACAACCCUCAAGCUCAGCUUGGUGUUGGGCCCCGCCGCCCCGGCGGGCCCUAAAGUCAGUGGCGGUGCCGUCCGGCUCCGAGCGUAGUAAUUCUUCUCGCUCUGGAGGUCCGGUCGUGUGCUCGCCAGCAACCCCCAAUUUUUUUCAGGUUGACCUCGGAUCAGGUAGGGAUACCCGCUGAACUUAAGCAUAUUAAUAAGCGGAGGA
rnacentral:misc_RNA from 1 species